GCAGCCGUGGCCUACUGGUUAGCGCUUCGCUUGUAACUGGAGGGUUGCCGGUUCGAACCCCGCCGACCA
rnacentral:tRNA from 1 species